CACGUGAGGGUGCAAGCGUUUGUCCGGAAUCAUUGGGCGUAAAGAGCUCGUAGGCGGCUUAGUAAGUCGGGUGUGAAAACCCCAGGCUCAACCUGGGGGACGCCCACCCGAUACUGCUAUAGCUAGAGUCCAGUAGGGGAGUGGUGGAAUUCCCAGUGUAGCGGUGGAAAUGACGCAGAUAUUGGGAGGAACACCAGCGGCGAAGGCGGCACUCUGGGCUGGUACUGACGCUGAGGAGCGAAAGCGUGGGUAGCGGAACAGG
rnacentral:rRNA from 1 species